rnacentral:lncRNA from 1 species
AGUCUACUCUAUUCUGUGUCUGACAAAAGUUUUGUUACUGUUUGUAAUUAUAAACUGCUAUUAUAUUUUGGUUAAAAUGUCUCAAAUAGAAAAAAGGUGAGUUUUUUUUUUAACAAUCUUUCUCUAAAAUUGGAUUUGAAAGAAAUAAAAUCUACCAAACGUUUGAACAAAGCACAGAGACUGGUAGCAAGAUGGAUGGAAUAUUGAGUCCAUUUUCAUAGCAAAGAAAUAGAGUAUGUCGCAAGCAAAAUGUCAGGAAGAAGGCUCGAGAAGGAGGAAAGGCCUACUUUCUUGAUUGGUCAAGGUUUGCCUGCAAACUACAUUUGUGCCACAGCACUCAGGAGGGCAGAAAGGGGCUGAAUGCCCUCUGUGAGGUCAGUUUAGUCUGAGGUUCGUUAGGGACAGACACAGGGGAAACCACUCACUCCAUUAACACCCACACAGUGUGGCCCACACUUAGACCAGGGGACACCGCACACCUGCCGUUUACACAGUUUAACACAGGAGAGCAGGGGCCUCCGCAAGGACAGCCUCUCAAAGCCUUUGUUUCUAGAGUUCCAUCUCAAUUCCACUGCACAGGUCUUUUAGUGUAAGUUACAAAAAACCUUGCUGAGAGAACAAAAGCUUGUUUUGUCUGUUUGUUUCCAGUAGAGUGAACAUUCAGAAACUGGUUCUUUCAGAGCUCCAGCGUGCCCCCCCGGGUGACCUAUGUUUUCUGGAAUGUGGUUCUACCAAGCUGUGUUUUAGAUGAGGAAUCUUAUUGGUGGACAGGAUUUGUCUUUGUUAGCUAUGCUAUCCGCACUGUUUUUGCAGCACUUGCUUUUGAUACUGAAAGGAGUCAUGCGGUUUGCAACCUAAAACCACCACACUGAUUGUUAGUGGUGACUUUCUGAGUGACUAACACAAGGUGGACCCUCGAAGAUACCUGAGGUACUCGUUAGCAGAUUUACCUUAACAUCAUAAUACAUGCAAAGAGUGAACACCUCAAAUGCAAGUACAGCAGAAACCCCGUAUACCAGUGGGAAUGUGGCCACAAUGUCUCCCAUGACAGAGGACAGACCUGGAGCCCAGCAUUCUUUGGGGAGGAAUCAGAUCCUUCCAUUGGAAACGCAGGAUCUCUCCCCUCUCACUAGGUCUCCCACAUAUGCACUUUUUCCCCUAGAGGAUCCUACUUGAAGGUCACCUCUUCAAUGUGCAGGUUUGUAGCAGUACAAAUACUAAAUAUUGGUCCGGGGAUUAGAAUGGAAUCCAUUUUCAGAAAAUCUAUAAGCCAAAUAUUCAACCUCAGUAUUUGCUUUGUGAUUAUUGGUACU